AGCGAACGCUGGCGGCAGGCCUAACACAUGCAAGUCGAACGAACCUUUCGGGGUUAGUGGCGGACGGGUGAGUAACACGUGGGAACGUGCCUUUAGGUUCGGAAUAACUCAGGGAAACUUGUGCUAAUACCGAAUGUGCCCUUCGGGGGAAAGAUUUAUCGCCUUUAGAGCGGCCCGCGUCUGAUUAGCUAGUUGGUUGAGGUAAUGGCUCACCAAGGCGACGAUCAGUAGCUGGUCUGAGAGGAUGAUCAGCCACAUUGGGACUGAGACACGGCCCAAACUCCUACGGGAGGCAGCAGUGGGGAAUCUUGCGCAAUGGGCGAAAGCCUGACGCAGCCAUGCCGCGUGAAUGAUGAAGGUCUUAGGAUUGUAAAAUUCUUUCACCGGGGACGAUAAUGGCGGUACCCGGAGAAGAAGCCCCGGCUAACUUCGUG
rnacentral:rRNA from 1 species